ACCUGAGUGGCUCAGUGGUUGAGCAUCUGCCUUUGGCUCAGGUGGUGAUCCCGGGGUCUUGGGAUCGAGUUCCACAUCAGGUU
rnacentral:tRNA from 1 species